UACGUAGGGGGCAAGCGUUGUCCGGAAUCAUUGGGCGUAAAGAGCGCGUAGGCGGCCCUGUAAGUCCGCUGUGAAAGCCCCCGGCUCAACUGGGGAGGGUCACGCGAUACUGAUCGACUCGAAGGCAGGAGAGGGUAGUGGAAUUCCCGGUGUAGUGGUGAAAUGCGUAGAUAUCGGGAGGAACACCAGUGGCGAAGGCGACUACCUGGCCUGUUCUUGACGCUGAGGCGCGAAAGCGUGGGGAGCGAUCCGG
rnacentral:rRNA from 1 species